UACAACAUAUUUUUAAUGCAUCAUAUGCAAUUAGAACUCUGCAGUUAAGCACGCUCAUGCUAGAGUAGUACUGGGAUGGGUGAUCACCUAGGAAAUCCUAUUGUUUUAC
rnacentral:rRNA from 1 species